rnacentral:lncRNA from 1 species
GUGUCAACCAAUCCAUACCCAAUACUACAUCAAACUCACCUAGUUUGUGUAGUGCUAAUAAAUUCACUGGCAUAAUCCAGUCGCCUACCCUAACUGGGCAGCGAGGGCAAAACUCACGAACAUCUAGGGUAUGGUCAGGUACAAUCACUCGUCCUGGAUGCAAGGUAGGUGCUAAAGGAAUGCUAUGCAACUCGGCGAACUGCCGAUCAAUAAAAGAAUGCGAAGCACCAGUAUCAAAUAAUGCACGAACACGAAUAUCAUAAAACAUAAUGAUACCUGCUACGACCUCCUCUGAUGCUGCGGCGCCCUCAGUCUGGGCGGCAUAAAUCCGCCCACUCGAACCCUGCUGCGAACUCUCCGAUUGCCGCUGUCCUCGUGGUCGCCUAGACUGAUAGGGUGCUGUCGGGGUCCCCUGGCUCGGAGCUAAAGAUGCAGGUGCAGACACUGACGAAGGUGCAGGCAAAGAACCUCUCGGGCACUCUGAGCGAAAGUGGCCCUCCUGACCACAGAGAAAACAUCUACCCCCACGUUGUGGACACUGUGGCGGUACGUGAGGCCCACCACAGAUAACACAACGCGGCUGUGGACGAAGCUCGGGUGCUCCACGACGUGCUGACGAACCUGGGCCCCUCGACUAUCCCGACUGGCCUCUCGGAUACUUUGGCGGUCUCCUGAAAGAUUGCUGACCACUACUCUCAGCCGCUGGUCUCUUUCCUUUUCCUCGAUCCACGAUGUUCCUUUCCUUCAUUAUCUCUGCCCCCUUCUCAACGAUCAAGGCCCGAUUCACAACAUCCCUGUAAGUAGAGAGGUUUGACGCUUGGACCAAUCUGAAAAUUGCAGGUCGCAAACCCACCUCAAAUAUGCGAGCCUUGUCCUCAUCAUCUCGAACCACAAAAGGAACACGGUGCAUUAAUCGGGAGAACUCUCGCUCAUACUCUGCUACUGUCCUGUCCCCCUGCUUCGGGUUUCUCAGGUCCCUUUCCAUUUGCCUCUUUACACUCUGGGGAAAGUAGGUCGUCAACAGUAAAUCCUUGAACCUGCUCCACGUGAUAGCAGACAAAUCGGUACGGGGAUCUUCAUGAAUAUCCACCCACUAUCGGUAAGCCUCGCCGUCAAGGUGGUGCGUUGCAAACCAAACUCGAUAUCGCUCCUCAACGAAUGUAUCAUAGAAUAACUUCUCCAUGUGCAUUAACCAUUUCUCGACCACCCAGUGAUCUGCUUUCUCCCCGUAAAAAAUACGAGGGUUGCAACGACGGAAUUCAUUCAAUUGUUCCAUCAUCCGCUCUCGCUCCUCAACCCCCACCAUCUCGGGUAACACUGUCCCUGAUGCUGCUACAGGUACUGGUGGCGGUACUACUGUCUCCUGUCGGGUCUCUGCCCUCGGAGCUACUGGGGGUGUGUCAAGUACAGGUGACUGUGCUCUCACUGUCGCAUCCCUGUCCNNNNNNNNNNNNNNNNNNNNNNNNNUUAACCACUCAAUUUGCUCUUCCACCUUGUUUCAAAUACUUCUAAUCACUUCCAAUUUAUACUAAUAUGCCUCUAUAAGUUACCAAAUUAAUUUGGAAGUAUUUAAUUCUCAAUUUUGCAUCAAUUUGAUCAUUUUGACCAAAUCGACUAAAAUUUCAGCAUUCGAGUAAUGAUAGCAAUUGGAGGUCUUUAACCACUUCGAUUCCAUUUGUGUCUAUCCUCACACUUCCAAAACCUGUCAAAUACAAUUCUCAAGCUACUAAUUAAGUUUAGAAACACUUAAUUUCUAUUUUUGCAUUAUUGUGACCACUUUGAUCACCAUUAGCUUCUAAUCAAAAUUCAGCCUAUUACACGAACAGACGCCGAACGGACAGCACCUCCCCUGUCUACCCAAGGCUCGAUCAACAUGUAUAUUACAAGCAAGUCAACAAGGAGAUUGUAAGAUAUACAAGGUUUGCACGAAGGCAAACAACAACAUAACCACAGUGAAAGCAUCAAAACUAACUAAACAUUCAACAGACAAGUCAUUUGAUUGCCUUUGAAUGAAACACAAGUAAACUAUUACAUUUACAUUCAUUUUAUACAUUCAUUUACAUCACAUUGGCCUUUAACCAAAAUAUAAGGUUUACAUCAUUUUACCUUACUAGUUCAACAUACAAAAGUUGAAUACACCAAAAUAUAGGGUAUGCCUAUAAAUUCCGAGGCCGCUAUCUACGGCGCGAUACCCUUGCCUCGAUCCUCCGCUGUCCCGCUCGCGCACCGAUCUGCAGGAUUAGUGGUAAUGAGAACUAGAAUGAAGUUUCUAGUGGGUUCGGCCGCCGACCGCGCCGAUUCGCCCACUAGGUCUAUUUCAGGCAUAUGUAAUUCAAGAAACGAUAGAUUGCAAACCAACUAAUGCAAAACUAUUACAAUGCCUGCAAGAAAAUAAUCCAGAGAUAGAUAGAUAUACCAGUACAUGAUAAUUAUGCAUGCAUGUCCUUUGUCAUUCAUUUUCUUUUCUUUUGGCCUU